rnacentral:misc_RNA from 1 species
AACGGUCUAUACCUGCGGUACCUGCGGAGGGAUCAUUACUGAAAGACAAGAGAGUCUUGAGACUGCGUCUUGAACGUGUUGCUCGACUCUUACUCUUCAUCCAUAUAUACCUUUGUGCACUUUUAGUGGGAGACGACUAAAAAGUUUCCCAUUUUUUUUAAUGAUAGACACUAGUAUGUACAUGUAUGUGAUGGUAGUACACUCUACGGAGUAAUGUACAACUUUCAGCAAUGGAUCUCU